CCUACGGGAGGCAGCAGUGAGGAAUAUUGGUCAAUGGACGAGAGUCUGAACCAGCCAAGUAGCGUGAAGGAUGACUGCCCUAUGGGUUGUAAACUUCUUUUAUAUGGGAAUAAAAUGAUCCACGUGUGGGAUUUUGUAUGUACCAUAUGAAUAAGGAUCGGCUAACUCCGUGCCAGCAGCCGCGGGAAUACGGAGGAUCCGAGCGUUAGCCGGAUUUAUUGGGUUUAAAGGGAGCGUAGGUGGAUUGUUAAGUCAGUUGUGAAAGGUUGCGGCUCAACCGUAAAAUUGCAGUUGAAACUGGCAGUCUUGAGUACAGUAGAGGUAGGCGGAAUUCGUGGUGUAGCGGUGAAAUGCUUAGAUAUCACGAAGAACUCCGAUUGCGAAGGCAGCUCACUGGACUGCAACUGACACUGAGGCUCGAAAGUGUGGGUAUCAAACAGGAUUAGAUACCCUAGUAGUC
rnacentral:rRNA from 1 species